rnacentral:rRNA from 1 species
UACAGAGGUCUCAAGCGUUGUUCGGAUUCAUUGGGCGUAAAGGGUGCGUAGGUGGCGGGGUAAGUCUGGUGUGAAAUCUCGGGGCUCAACCCCGAAACUGCACUGGAUACUGCCUUGCUCGAGUACUGGAGAGGAGAUUGGAAUUUACGGUGUAGCAGUGAAAUGCGUAGAUAUCGUAAGGAAGACCAGUGGCGAAGGCGAAUCUCUGGACAGUUACUGACACUGAGGCACGAAGGCCAGGGGAGCAAAGCGGG